GACGAACGCUGGCGGCGUGCUUAACACAUGCAAGUCGAACGGAAAGGCCCUGCUUGCAGGGUACUCGAGUGGCGAACGGGUGAGUAACACGUGGGUGAUCUGCCCUGCACUUCGGGAUAAGCCUGGGAAACUGGGUCUAAUACCGGAUAGGAGCCAUUUUUAGUGUGAUGGUUGGAAAGUUUUUUCGGUGUAGGAUUAGCUCGCGGACUAUCAGCUUGUUGUUGGGGUGAUGGCCUACAAAGGCGGCGACGGGUAGCCGGCCUGAGAGGGUGGACGGCCACAUUGGGACUGAGAUGCGCGCCAGACCCCUACGGGAGGCAGCAGUGAGGAAUAUUGCACAAUGGGCGCAAGCCUGAGGCAGCGACGCCGCGUGGGGGAUGACGGCCUUCGGGUUGUAAACUCCUUUCGCUAGGGACGAAGCUUUUUGUGACGGUACCUAGAUAAGAAGCACCGGCUAACUACGUG
rnacentral:rRNA from 1 species